rnacentral:rRNA from 1 species
AACGAACGCUGGCGGCAGGCCUAACACAUGCAAGUCGAGCGCCCCGCAAGGGGAGCGGCGGACGGGUGAGUAACGCGUGGGAACGUACCCUUUGCUACGGAAUAGCCUCGGGAAACUGGGAGUAAUACCGUAUGUGCCCUUCGGGGGAAAGAUUUAUCGGCAAAGGAUCGGCCCGCGUUGGAUUAGGUAGUUGGUGGGGUAAUGGCCUACCAAGCCGACGAUCCAUAGCUGGUUUGAGAGGAUGAUUAGCCACACUGGGACUGAGACACGGCCCAGACUCCUACGGGAGGCAGCAGUGGGGAAUCUUAGACAAUGGGCGCAAGCCUGAUCUAGCCAUGCCGCGUGAGCGAUGAAGGCCUUAGGGUUGUAAAGCUCUUUCAGUGGGGAAGAUAAUGACUGUACCCACAGAAGAAGCCCCGGCUAACUCCGUG